rnacentral:rRNA from 1 species
GACGAACGCUGGCGGCGUGCCUAAUACAUGCAAGUUGAGCGAUGAAGAUUGGUGCUUGCACCCAUUUGAAGAGCAGCGAACGGGUGAGUAACGCGUGGGGAAUCUGCCUUUGAGCGGGGGACAACAUUUGGAAACGAAUGCUAAUACCGCAUAACAACUUUAAACAUAAGUUUUAAGUUUGAAAGAUGCAAUUGCAUCACUCAAAGAUGAUCCCGCGUUGUAUUAGCUAGUUGGUGAGGUAAAGGCUCACCAAGGCGAUGAUACAUAGCCGACCUGAGGGGGUGAUCGGCCACAUUGGGACUGAGACACGGCCCAAACUCCUACGGGAGGCAGCAGUAGGGAAUCUUCGGCAAUGGACGAAAGUCUGGCCGAGCAACGCCGCGUGAGUGAAGAAGGUUUUCGGAUCGUAAAACUCUGUUGGUAGAGAAGAACGUUGGUGAGAGUGGAAAGCUCAUCAAGUGACGGUAACUACCCAGAAAGGGACGGCUAACUACGUG